GCAUCAAGUUGCCUUAGAGUUGAAAAGGUCAGAGGGGACCUAAUCAUCAUUUUCAGUAAUCAUUUUACCAUUCACACAUUUGGAGAUACCACAGCACUUACUUCAAAUGCUUCUUCCUCAACGCAUAAAUUACCACAUCCCCAACUUGUGUGUACACACACACACACACGUGUGUGUGUUCUUCAAUGUGUGUGCAAAAGAGAAUACGAGGAGUUCUGAGAACAUGAUCUGAAAAUCUUUCCAAUUGUCUAUGAUUUAGGAAAGUCUUGUACUUUGUAGAAGAUCCUAAAAUUCUGAGCUCAUGGAAGACUUGGCCAAAGGAGCCAAGUUUCUGGAUUUCUUAUCUGGCAUUCCAGUCCCUAUGUUCUGCUGUGCAAAGGCUGGGUGUGUUUCUAGUCUAUGAGAUUGUGAUGUUCAAAAAUAGAAAUAAGAGAGAGAGAUUUUCAGCAACUGAGCAUUAAUAUUUAAGAUCCUUGUGGGAAAGGGGAAAUGUUAUGGUGUAGUCAAUUAUAACGCCAACUUCUUCAAUCUCUAUUUACUUGGGAAAGGUUUCAGAGAUGUGGUCUUAAUUCCAGUUGAAACUGAUCUUUUCAUGUUUAGAGGGGACUGGAUAUUGACAGUUUUCUUUCCAUUUGUUCAGAAGUUUUAUUUUUGGCUUAUGAUAAUCCUAGCGUAUCAGUAACCAU
rnacentral:lncRNA from 1 species